GAUGAACGCUGGCGGCGUGCUUAAUACAUGCAAGUCGAGCGAACAGACGAGGAGCUUGCUCCUCUGACGUUAGCGGCGGACGGGUGAGUAACACGUGGAUAACCUCCCUAUCUGACUGGGAUAACUUCGGGAAACCGGAGCUAAUACCGGAUAAUCUAUUGAACCGCAUGGUUCAAUAGAGAAAGACGGUUUUGCUGUCACUUAUAGAUGGAUCCGCGCCGCAUGAGCUAGUUGGUAAGGUAACGGCUUACCAAGGCAACGAUGCGUAGCCGACCUGAGAGGGUGAUCGGCCACACUGGAACGGAGACACGGUCCAGACUCCUACGGGAGGCAGCAGUAGGGAAUCUGCCGCAAUGGGCGAAAGCCUGACGGAGCAACGCCGCGUGAGUGAUGAAGGUCUUCGGAUCGUAAAACUCUGUUAUUAGGGAAGAACAAAUGUGUAAGUAACUAUGCACGUCUUGACGGUACCUAAUCAGAAAGCCACGGCUAACUACGUG
rnacentral:rRNA from 1 species